rnacentral:rRNA from 1 species
GACGAACGCUGGCGGCGUGCUUAACACAUGCAAGUCGAACGGAAAGGCCCCUUCGGGGGUACUCGAGUGGCGAACGGGUGAGUAACCCGUGAUUAACCUGCCCUUGCCUUCGGGAUAACUUCAGGAAACUGGGGCUAAUACCGGAUAGGAAUCCUUGCUGCUGGGGGGGGGUUGGAAAGCUCCGGCGGUUUUGGAUGGACUCGCGGCUUAUCAGCUUGUUGGUGGGGUAGUGGCUUACCAAGGCUUUGACGGGUAGCCGGCCUGAGAGGGCGACCGGCCACAUUGGGACUGAGAUACGGCCCAGACUCCUACGGGAGGCAGCAGUGGGGAAUAUUGCACAAUGGGCGGAAGCCUGAUGCAGCAACGCCGCGUGCGGGAUGACGGCCUUCGGGUUGUAAACCGCUUUCAGCAGGGGCGAAGCUUGUGGUGACGGUACCUGCAGAAGAAGCACCGGCUAACUACGUG